rnacentral:lncRNA from 1 species
AAACAAAUGUUCCAGCCGAGAUAUUUAUGGGAUUCUCUACAGGCAGCUGACUGGCUGCUGUGGGAGGAAGUCCAAAGCUGAGAUAUUUGUCCUAGCUUGAAAACUGUCAGUACUAUUUGUAUGAAUGCGUUCAAAGUGGCCAUGUUUCUUCAUAACUUUUUGGACUAGUUCAACAGGGACAUGAAAGAAGGACACUAAACUGAUUCCUACAUGGAAGCUUCCAUUGCUUACUGUCUGCUUGGAACU